AUCAUCCUCAGCAUUGUUAUAAAAGCUUUCCUCAUCCUGAUGUUGGCUGAGCCAGUAAUCCCUGUACCAUGUUGAAGUGGUAACCAGUUGCCACCAUUCUGGGGAGAAAUCCUCCACUUGACGAUAGGCAGCAGGGAUAAAGAGAGGGGCAUCAGGGUUUAAUGUCGACCUUCCUCCUGAAACUAGUGCCAUCUGUCUCAAUCGAGUCUUGUUUUAUCUUUUCAAUCUUGAAGCUUUAGCGAAGAAACUAUGCAGGCUCGUCUUGCUGUU
rnacentral:misc_RNA from 1 species